rnacentral:rRNA from 1 species
UACGAAGGGGGCUAGCGUUGCUCGGAAUCACUGGGCGUAAAGCGCACGUAGGCGGAUCUUUAAGUCAGGGGUGAAAUCCUGGAGCUCAACUCCAGAACUGCCUUUGAUACUGGGGAUCUCGAGUCCGGGAGAGGUGAGUGGAACUCCGAGUGUAGAGGUGAAAUUCGUAGAUAUUCGGAAGAACACCAGUGGCGAAGGCGGCUCACUGGCCCGGUACUGACGCUGAGGUGCGAAAGCCGGGAGGGAGCAAGAAGGG